rnacentral:snRNA from 1 species
AGCUUUGCGCAGUGGCAGUAUCGUAGCCAAUGAGGUUUAUCCGAGGCGCAAUUAUUGCUAAUUGAAAAACAUUCAG